rnacentral:rRNA from 1 species
AAAAUCAAUUUAAUUUGAUAUUAAUAAAUUUAUUGAUUUUUUUUUUAUAAUAAGUAAUUUUUAAUAAAAAUAUUUUUUUUUUUUUAUAAAUUUAGAUAAAAUUAAUAUUAAUUAUAGAGAAUUUAGUAUAGUAAUAGAUUAUUGAAAUAAAAUUGAAAAUUAAAAUUUUAAAAAGAAAAUUUAAAUUAUUGUACCUUGUGUAUCAGGGUUUAUUAAAUAAAAAUUAUAAAGUUAAUUUUCUCGAAUUUAAAAGAGCUAAGAAAUUAUAAAUUUUAUUGUGAAAUAAAUAUUUAAAAUAAUUUUUUAGUAAUGAAACGUUAGUCGUUUUUAAAUUUAUCUAGUUUUUUAAGAAAUAAAUUUAAUUUAGUUAUUUAUUAAUUCAAUAUUAUAUUUUUAUAUUAAAUUGAAAUAAAUAAUUAAUAUUUUAAGGGAUAAGCUUUAAAAUAAAGGUUUUAUAAAUAUAAUUUAUAUAGUUUAAAAUUUAUAGGAAUGGAAGUAUUUAUUUAUUUAAGUGUGUUAUAACAAAUUUUGUUAAAAAUAUAUAAUUUAUAUAUUAUUUUAAAUAAUUUAUUAAAAUAAUUAAUUUAAUAAAAUAAUUAAUGUAAUAAUGAUAGAAUUAGUAUAAUAUAUUAAUGUUAGUUUAAUUUAUAAUUAAAAGGUUAAAUUAAGGAACUCGGCAAAUAUUUUUUUCGCCUGUUUAUUAAAAACAUGUCUUUUUGAUAAUAAUUUAAAGUCUGACCUGCCCUAUGAUUUUAUUAAAUGGCCGCGAUAUUUUGAUCGUGCAAAGGUAGCAUAAUAAUUAGUUUUUUAAUUGGGAACUGGAAUGAAAGGUCGAACGAGAAAAAAUCUGUCUCAAUUUAAAUUAAAUUAGAAUUUUAUUUUUAAGUAAAAAAGCUUAAAUAUUUUUAAAAGACGAGAAGACCCUAUAGAGUUUUAUAAUUAAUUUAUAAUUUUUUAGUUUAAGAAUUUAAUUUUAAAAUUAUAAUUUAAUUAUUUAGUUGGGGUGAUUGAAAAAUUAAAUAAACUUUUUUUAAUUUUUACCAUUAAUAUAUGAAUUAAUGAUCCAUUUUUAAUGAUUAAAAGAUUAAAUUACCUUAGGGAUAACAGCGUAAUUUUUUUUGAGAGUUCUUAUCGAAAAAAAAGUUUGCGACCUCGAUGUUGGAUUAAAAUUAAUUUUUGGUGUAGGAGCUAGAAAUAUUAGGUCUGUUCGACCUUUAAAAUUUUACAUGAUCUGAGUUUAAACCGGUGUGAGCCAGGUUGGUUUCUAUCUUUAAAUAUAAGUAGAUAUUUUAGUACGAAAGGAUCAAUUAUCUAUAAUAAUUAUUAUAUAUUAUGAAUAUCAUUAAUAAAAUAUUACUUUGGCAGAAUAGUG